rnacentral:rRNA from 1 species
GGACUUCGCCGGUCUCGCCUCGCUGCACGUCACGUUAAAAGACUUCAACGUUUUGACUGCUAAGCAAGCGAGGGCAUAAUAUGCCUCGACUUCUCGACGGCUUGUUCUGGAUUUCUCACCGUUUUCUAGUAAAUGUUAGAUUCGUCACUGUUUAACAAUUUCAGGUUUCAUUCAUCACCGACUUUUAGUUUAGCGGGGCUUUCUUGUAGUCUAAACCAUUCGUAAGUGUGGCUGAACAGGGAAAGAAGGCAGAGGGCGGCGGAAGCUACUGGAAGCGGCCGCGAAGUGCGGCGGCCGCUCAUAGACCAAGGGUAGGGGGAGAGGGAGAGUAUCGGUAGCAGGAGGACGAUCAGAAGGGUGGAGGAGGGGCGCGAAUGCGCGAGGCGCAGGGUGACGCGCUCCAGCGGAGGGAGGAGAGGGAGAGGGUGAGGGAGGAGUGGGCGCAGCGCCAGCGGGCGCGGCUGGCCCCCCUGCGGCGACGGCGACGGGCGCGAGCGGCUUAGCGGAGCGUGGACAGGUAAGAGAGGAGAGCGCCACGCACCCGUGAGCCGACCCUGAUGGAGGCGGUGAUACGAAAGAGGAGGCAGUGGCCUACGCCGAAGAGGACGCGGUGACGGCGGCGGGCGGAGGAGCGGCGACGCCGCCUCCGGAGCGCGGAUUUCAGUGGCCAGCUCCGCCGGGUCACCGACGCGGCAUUAAUGCCACUGGAGGAUCGGCGGCGAUGAGUCGAGGAUUUGCCGGAGGAGAGAUGGAAGAGGCUCGUCCCCGGCGAUUCGCUCCACCACAACCUACACUUCACCCUCCACCUCCUUCCCCCCAACGACUUCCUAACGGAAGUCCGCCCUCGGUUUCUGAACCUCCCGAACGAAUAGUAACGGUUUCUAGAGAAACCACGAAGUUCCCGAAGAAGUGCGGUGUCACUUGAGACUCCACUCAGGACUGGUUCUUUGAUGUCGGCGAGGUAAGACAGGAGGUGGCUACGUCUUACGAAGUCUAGGUUGUCAAGUGGAUGUGUUAAUUUCGACGAGGUCAAACCACUGAGACGUAUGUUGUGUAGUACAAUUCGAUAGAAUAGAGAAGCCCUUUUUCCAGGAAGCAGGUACGUAUCCUUUUUUAAGACAUUAAUUUCCGAUUAACUGAAUGUUGUAGAUGGUAUCCAGCUGUGUACUCGGAAGCUACUAUUGUUUGAAGUCCUGGGAGAUCACUAUAGAGUGUUCAAUAGGACAAUGGAGAGCCUGGUAGAACAGAUCUGUUAUG